rnacentral:rRNA from 1 species
GUUGAACGCUGGCGGCGUGCCUAAUACAUGCAAGUCGAGCGAACGGACGAGAAGCUUGCUUCUCUGAUGUUAGCGGCGGACGGGUGAGUAACACGUGGAUAACCUACCUAUAAGACUGGGAUAACUUCGGGAAACCGGAGCUAAUACCGGAUGAUAUUUUGAACCGCAUGGUUCAAAAGUGAAAGACGGUCUUGCUGUCACUUAUAGAUGGAUCCGCGCUGCAUUAGCUAGUUGGUAAGGUAACGGCUUACCAAGGCAACGAUGCAUAGCCGACCUGAGAGGGUGGUCGGCCACACUGGAACUGAGACACGGUCCAGACUCCUACGGGAGGCAGCAGUAGGGAAUCUUCCGCGAUGGGCGAAAGCCUGACGGAGCAACGCCGCGUGAGUGAUGAAGGUCUUCGGAUCGUAAAACUCUGUUAUUAGGGAAGAACAUAUGUGUAAGUAACUGUGCACAUCUUGACGGUACCUAAUCAGAAAGCCACGGCUAACUACGUG